UACGGAGGAUGCGAGCGUUAUCCGGAUUUAUUGGGUUUAAAGGGUGCGUAGGCGGACGCUUAAGUCAGCGGUAAAAUUGCGGGGCUCAACCUCGUCGAGCCGUUGAAACUGGGUGCCUUGAGUGGGCGAGAAGUACGCGGAAUGCGUGGUGUAGCGGUGAAAUGCAUAGAUAUCACGCAGAACUCCGAUUGCGAAGGCAGCGUACCGGCGCCCUACUGGCGCUGAAGCACGAAGGCGUGGGUAUCGAACAGG
rnacentral:rRNA from 1 species